CCAGGCUGGAAUGGGGGGUGGGGUGGCAGGUAGAGCCCCCUCCCCCACCCAGUGGCGGAACCUGGAGGGGCUGGACAGGUGAAGGGUUGACUAAGAAGGAAGUCUGAUCCUGGACCUCUAGGCCGGAGGGCAGGGACAUUCCUCAACAGAGCCUCCCACAGCUUGGACAGACUCAAAGGAGGACACCAAGUAAAGAGGAGCAAAGUGAUUCGCCUAAUGCCACACGGCAAGUUAAGCGGCUGGGCCUGAACCCCAGGUCUGUGACCUCAGAGCCCAUAGGCUGGCCUGGAGGCAGUGGCCCUGCCCUUAACUCCCUGCCGGCCACCCCUCAGCUUCAGCUUGGCUCCUGUAAAAGCGGACCCGCUCUGUGCCUAGCAUCCCCUGGAAGCAGUUGGUACCAGUCCUCUAUCUCCUUAACAGUGACCACAGCUAACAUUCAGCCAAGGGGAACUCUGGGUGAGGGACAAAACCCAGCUCAGGCACCUGCCUCCUACCAACGGGAUCAGUGCUGCCUCCCCAGCACCCUAUUCCAAGCACCAAAAAGCCUGCUCCAUCCCAGGCAUCCUGCCCAGCUCUUUGGACUUGGACGUUGCUCCCGCCACUCGGAGGCUGAUCACCCGACAGGCAUUAUUUCCUGGUUCCAGACCCGGGCAUGGCCCCACUGGUUCCAGGGGCCCCUAAAAUAAACUCCUUCUACUCCUUCUCCCGGUCAGUUUGGGUUCAGAUCCCAGUCUAGUCACCUCCUGGCUGUGCCACGGCAUCUUUCUGGGCCCCCUUUUCCUUGUCUCUAAAACAGGGGUGAUAAAAAGCGCCCACCUCAUGGGAUUGUUGUGAAGAUGAGAUGCGUUAAAAGAGGCUAAAAACUUGAAAAAGUGCCUGGCACAGAGUGAGUGCUCCUUAUAAGAAUUUUGCAUUAUUAGUCACACAAAUUAGGGGGCCGGCUAGACUUGUUGGGGGAGGGGCUUUUGGCCUGGGCACAGGGGAACCCCACUUCUCUGUUUAAUGGAGUUUCUGUGCUGGGGGGACACCCAUCAUGUGCUAAAGAAUGUGCUGGGCACCCAGAGCUCUGCUCCCAGAAUCCAGGGUACACGGGGAACACAUUAGGCCCAGAGACCCUGCAACUCUCUUCUGUCCCCUUCAUAAAACAGACAAGGAGGCUCAGAGAGGGUAAGUGAAACCCAAAGUCACCCAUAGCAAGUAAUUGGUAGCCCCAGGAUUUGAACCCCGACCUGCCCAACUCCCAAACCAAGGCCCCCAGGCCUCACCCUGAUCCCUCAGCCCCCGGCCCCAGCCUGCCCUGACUCACCAGACCCCGGGGGGCGGCACAGAGAGCACAAGUACCCCCACAUGCCCCUUGCACCCACCCGGCCGCUGGCUCCGAUGCUCCGGGCUCUCUGAGCCCAGGCCUGGGGCCAGGGCUGGGAUGAAACUGGGGAUUACCCCCAAAAUGCAUGUCAGCAGCUUCUGUCCCAUUGUCUGGCCAGGCACAGCCACCAGGCCUUCCCCUCAGUUGUCAACCUUGCCCCUCACACCAGCCCCCUGGCCCCUCUGUGGACCUGUACCCCUCCCUGCCACACCAAGAGCUUGGGGCCUACUUCCCUGAGGGCAUGGGGACCCGGCACAAGUUGGCAGGAUUCCAGAAUUCUAGGGGCCUCCCCCCUUCUCUCCAAAAUGCCCCCUGCCCACUCUCAGCCGCCAGGGAAGGCAGGAAUGUGCUGAGCUCUGGGAAAUGCCAUCCAGGCCUGGCAGCCACCAAGGGUUGGGGUGUGGCCAGAAUCCUGCCAGAACCCUUCUCCUGGGAAGGGAGGAAAGAAUGGGGCUGCUGAUGGUCCUAAGGAGCCCCUCACCCCAGUGCACUCUCUCUCUCUCUCUCUCAUUGAUUCAUUCAACCAUUCACCUGUUCAUCUAUUCAUUCAACAAACAUUCACAAGCCCUUGCCAGCAGCCUCUUUGCUGGGCAUUGGAGAUACCGACAGACUUACAUUUACCAUGUACCAUGGGGUGGGGGUGGGGGGCAGGCUCAGGAAAGGAUUCCUGGAAGGCGUGACCUCUGAAGUCAAACUGGAUGGUGGAGAAGCGGGGAGUCAGGUAAAAGUGUAGGAAGGGGCUUCCAGGGAGAGGGGACAAAUGCAGGCAAAGUGUACCAGAGGGGAGAAAGGGAGCAGUCUUUAUCCAAUGUCAGCAGUUAGUGAGUCCAGCCCUACUCUGGAUGGUGCCGGGGACACAGUGUGACUGAGAUAGCCCGGGCUUGCUUUCACAAAGUUCACAGUCCAACAGGGACACAGACCCAGCAUGGCCCAGGGUUGGGGUGAGAGAGUCACAGGGAAAAAGGUCAGGGCCUUGACGGGGGAGCCCAGGAAAGGUCCCUUGCUCCAGCUUAGCAAGGGAGGUCAGGUAAGGCUUCCUGGAGGAGGGGACAUGUGAACUGAGACUUGGAUGACCUACAGGAGCUAGGCAAGAGAAGAGGGAGGGGAAGUUUUAUGGGCAGAGGGAACAGCCUGUGAGGAGGAUCUGAAUCCAGAGAGAGGUCAGCACAUGUGAAAUUUCUAGGAGCUGACAACUAUGUCCUUCCUUGUUCAUGGCUGUGUCCCCGGGCCAAACAUGCCCCUUAUAUCUCCUCCUCAUGUAUACAUUCAUUCAGCAGCUGUUCACAGAUACCUCUUCGGUAUCCAACCCUGGGCUCGGUGGUGCUUAGGACACAGCAGUGACCCUGAUUUUGCCCUCACAAGACUCCCAGUGUGUGUGUGUGUGCGGGGGGGGUAUGAGGGCCGACAUUAAAGAAGUGAUCAGUGAAAUGAGUGUAUACUUACAUACUGAGCUAAGCACUAUGAGGGACAGAUCUAGGUCUAUAAGAGGGGCCUGGCACUCUGGUACUACCAGAAAGGGCAGGGAGAGCUUCCUGGAGGAAGUGACAUUUGAACUGGCACCUGAAGGAUAUGUAGGAGUGAGUUCGUGGAGGGGCACCUGGGGGGCUCAGUUGGUUGAGUGUCCGACUUCAGCUCAGGUCAUGGCCUUGCAGUUUGUGAGUUUGAGCCCCAUGUCAGGCUCUGUGCUGACAGCCCAGAGCCUGGAUGGAGCCUGCUAAGGAUUCUGUGUCUCCUUCUCUCUCUGCCCCUCCCCCACUCACACUCUGUUUCUCUCUCUCUCUCUCUCUCUCUCUAAAAA